GGGGAUUUAGCUCAGUGGUUCUGGCGCCUGCCUGGCAAGCGUAAGGUCCCAAGUUCGAUUCCUGGUACCCCCC
rnacentral:tRNA from 1 species